rnacentral:lncRNA from 1 species
UUUGUUUAUUAUUUAAUCUUUUGCUGUCUAAAAUGUCAGUUCUGCUGUAGGUCUCGGAGCGGAUAAAACUACAGCACCGGUGUAGGUGCACAACUUUUCCUAAUGAGGCAAAUGGAAACGGAGAAAGAAACACGAUGAAAAACCUCACAUACUGUUGGGAGCUGAGGAAAUUCAUAGACGCCAGCCUCAUAUCCCAGUCAGUCAACAGCCAUACUACAGUGCCAUGAAAGUGGCAAAUUUUAAAGUGAGGACACCAAAUCUUCAGAAGAGUGGCAGAACAUCCUCAGCCUCUGAUGGUAACGCAGUCUUCAUAUACUGACUUGACAGCAGCAACGAUUACACCAAGAGUGGAGUGAAGUCAUGAGAGCAAAUGCUUCAGACUCAUGUGCCUUGGUCUGAGACUCACACUCGAUGUUGAUACAUAAACAGUCUGAUUUCCAGGGAUGUCAAGAUGCAGAGCAAACUACAGACACAGGAAGAAUGACGCUCACCCUGAAGAAGCAGUCUGUAACCCAGUUUCUGAACUCUGUUGUUGGUGGCGGAGAAUUGCUUAGAUGAAGGACUAACUUUCCAUAGGAUUGAGUAGUGAGGACCUCACAAAAUCUAAGAGGCUAAAAACCACCAGCAACCUCUCCAAAAGCGAAAAUGUUGAAGCAGGGGCAUCAGUCUCCUUGGGAGGGACGUCGAGCAUUCAUGCAUGUCACUGACUUCCAUGGAGUUGGCAAAGGUCUUGGUACUUCUUGUACCACUGCCUGUAAGAAAUAAUCUGCAUAUAAAUCAAAUGGCUCUGAUGGUCCCACUGUGCUGCACAGGGCAUUAACUACAGUUCUCAGAUUCUGGGAAAACUCAAGUAUGCAUCACU